rnacentral:lncRNA from 1 species
UUUUUUCCCUGCCUCAAAUUUACUCAAAUGCAAUUUAUAUAGGUAACAUAAAAAGAUAAAUGAUAAUGCAUUCAUUUACAAUAUUUAAAAAUAGUUACAUCUUAAAUUUAAUUUAACAUAUUAAGAUCACGUUUUCAAGUGUUCACGGCCGACAUCCGUUAUUAUUAAAUAAGGGUGUAAAAAUGAAUGACAAAUUCUUCACCACGUACGGCAGUCUGUAAUUGCAUAUAAAACGUAUUGCAAUCACUUGUAAACCAUUAAAUAUAAAGGUUCAGGUGCUUAUAUUCAAUAAUCAAAUAUUAUUUCGGCAAUCUGUUGAUUUUUUUUAGUCAAUUCGCGGCGAUUUGUGCAGCAGUAUGACUUUGAGCUACUUUUUUUAUUUAUAUAAUUAUAAAACAGUGUUAAAUAAUUAAAUAGGAAGAAGUUAGAAUUAAAAUUGAAUAUUUGUUUUAUUUAAAUAACAUGAUUAAGGGGACGUGGUAGACUUUCAGUUAAAAAAAUCGUCUUCUUUCACAGUUUUAUUUCAUUCUUGAAAGGGGAGCAACCCCUGAUAAAUAAUGGGAAAGUUUCACUCGUUUUGUGUCCAAAUUAUUAAAAUCUGAACACGACUGGACACGGUCUGACAACAUCUUGACGUCAGUUUGUAUCCAUGGUCUGUUUUGGU